UACGGGGGGGGCAAGCGUUGUUCGGAAUUACUGGGCGUAAAGGGCUCGUAGGCGGCCAACUAAGUCAGACGUGAAAUCCCUCGGCUUAACCGGGGAACUGCAUCUGAUACUGGAUGGCUUGAGUUCGGGAGAGGGAUGCGGAAUUCCAGGUGUAGCGGUGAAGUGCGUAGAUAUCUGGAGGAACACCGGUGGCGAAGGCGGCAUCCUGGACCGACACUGACGCUGAGGAGCGAAAGCCAGGGGAGCAAACGGG
rnacentral:rRNA from 1 species